UACGGAGGGUGCAAGCGUUGCUCGGAAUCAUUGGGCGUAAAGCGUACGCAGGCUGUUCGUUAAGUCGGGUGUGAAAGCCCGGGGCUCAACCCCGGAAAUGCGCCCGAAACUGGCGAGCUUGAGUGCGGGAGAGGGAAGCGGAAUUCCUGGUGUAGAGGUGAAAUGCGUAGAUAUCGUGAGGAACACCAGAGGCGAAGGCGGUUACCUGGACAGUUACUGACGCUCAGGCACGAAAAGCAUGGGGAGCAAAAGGG
rnacentral:rRNA from 1 species